rnacentral:rRNA from 1 species
CUUACACAUGCAAGUCGAACGGUAACAGAAGACGAACGGUAACAGGUCUUCGGAUGCUGACGAGUGGCGAACGGGUGAGUAAUACAUCGGAACGUGCCUAGUAGUGGGGGAUAACUACUCGAAAGAGUGGCUAAUACCGCAUGAGAUCUACGGAUGAAAGCAGGGGAUCGCAAGACCUUGUGCUACUAGAGCGGCCGAUGGCAGAUUAGGUAGUUGGUGGGAUAAAAGCUUACCAAGCCGACGAUCUGUAGCUGGUCUGAGAGGACGAUCAGCCACACUGGGACUGAGACACGGCCCAGACUCCUACGGGAGGCAGCAGUGGGGAAUUUUGGACAAUGGGCGCAAGCCUGAUCCAGCAAUGCCGCGUGCAGGAUGAAGGCCUUCGGGUUGUAAACUGCUUUUGUACGGAACGAAAAGCCCCGGGUUAAUACCCUGGGGUCAUGACGGUACCGUAAGAAUAAGCACCGGCUAACUACGUGCCAGCCGCCGCGGUAA